ACCUCAGCUCUUUUGUGAGAAGCAGUGCUGUAUAGCCAGAGAGCCUCUUCGCCAGUUGGGCAAUACUUUAAAGCUAUCUGUGUUGCUGUAAGGCUGAAGAGAGAGACAGAAAAUUAAAGCCUUCAUAUAAACCUUUACCCUCAGGAACUGAGCUGUGGGUUUGUACUUCUGAGAGCAGAAGGAAACAGGAUGUCAUAUACCCUUGUCCAUUAGUGCUUGAAAGGAGCUCAGUCUAAAAUUUUGAGUCCUAUUGCAAGGCAUUUGAAAAUGGAAAAAAUGUUGUAUAGUGCUUGUCAUUCUUUCAUUGCUUCCGGAGUGCCUUCAUUAGCAACCCUGUAAAAUCCUGUGCUUUAUCAGAUUUCAUUUAUCACCAUUAAGGAUGACCCCAUCAUGUCUGUCCAUUGUCCACUUGCUCACAUAUUACCUCAUAGCUGUCAAACAAGUAAUAGGUGGAGGUCCAUUGGGCUGGUACUUCCUGUUCACUUUCAGAUGUACUGAUAAAAGGGUUGCUUGGAUGUCCCUCAGGGUUUGAGAUUCUGUCAGGCUAAGGCUGAAGGGUUGGCCUUUCUCCAUCUGUAUUUUAAACACACGUAUGCUCAUCUCAAUAUCAGCUGUGUGAAAGCAAAACUCCCAAAUCUAGAAAUACAAGCUUGUAUUAAUAUGCAGUUUCUUUGUGAACUUCUUGCUCAUCCUUGAGUCUUAACAAUAAAAAAGACCAGUG
ensembl:lncRNA